CAAAAUAAACUAAUUGCUUUACCUACAAGUCUACAAUCCUAAAACAUGGCAGAUAGGUUAUACUUUGUAAGACUCCUUCGCAACUCUAUUUUGGGUUGUAUUGCUGACCUCGAAGGAAGUCCAGAUCGGGAUUUUUGCGUUUUUCGUAUUGAUUCUCUUUACCACAUUACGUUGCGAUUUGCUGAAGUAUUUGAGCGUGAAGAGGCUGUUCUGCAGUUAAUCUCACACGCAAAAGAACUUUUAAAUGUCAAUGUUCAUCAUGAUAUUAAUCCAUCUUCUUCAUUGAACUGCCCUCAAGUUUUCAGUGGCACACCAGGGCGACCAAUGUAUGAAGUAAACGAAGAUAUUCUGCGUUAUUUUUUGGAUAAGCGUUUUACAGUGAAAGAUACGUAAAUCUUCUGGGAGUCAGCAAAAGAACCAUUGAAAGGAGGAUGAAUGAGUUUGGUUUAUCAGUUUCUAAUUGUUAUUCUGACGUUAACGAUUCAGAUCUCGAGUUGGUCAUAAGAAACUUAACGAACGAGUUUCCCAAUCUUGGCUACAAACGUAUGUCAGGAUUGCUGUUAGCAAGAGGUUUGCGAAUUCAGCAGGACAGGAUUCGUGAAAUGAUGCGAAGAGUUGAUCCACAGGGUACAUUGUUUCGUGCUUUGUCUCUUAGAGCAGUGCACAGACGUAAAUAUCAUGUUACUAGCCCCUUAUCAUUUUGGCAUGUUGAUGGCAAUCACAAAUUGAUUAGGUGGAGAUUUGUGACUCAUGCAGGAAUAGAUGGCAAUUCACGUUUGCUGGUAUUUAUUCGCUGUAGCACAAACAAUCAAGCUGAUACUGUUCUAAGUCUAUUUCUAUCUGGUGUAUCUCAAUAUGACUGCCAUCCAGAGUAAAAACUGAUAAAGGAGGUGAAAAUGUUGGUAUUGCUCAAUUUAUGUUAAACCACCAUUUGCAAGGACCCGGUCGUGGCAGUCAUAUUACCGGAAGAAGAGUGCACAACCAACGGAUUGAGCGCUUUUGGCAAGAUCUUUUUGUUGGUUGUACAAGUCUUUUUUAUCAUUUAUUCUAUCAUAUGGAAAGUAAUGGAAUAUUGGAUCCAUCAAAUGAAGAACAUGUGUUUUCAUUGCAUUAUGUGUUUUGUCCAAUUAUUAACAGAAAUUUGGAAAUUUUCCAGGAAGGUUACAAUAGAUUUCCCAUAAGAACAGAAAGAAAUCUAUCACCUGAACAGCUAUGGAUCCAAGGAUCUUGCUUAGCCAAUAAUGCAAACGACCAUAUAUAGCAGGUAAACCAAGAAUUUCCACCCACCUUUACACAAUAUUACGCAUGUCAUGAAACUGAUCAGCAACAAGUGAUUGUUCCAGAAACCAACAUUCCAUUGAUUGAAACAGAUCUUGAUAAGCUGCAAAGAACCAUUAAUCCUUUAAGGCCUUCUAAUCAUAAUGGUGCUGACAUAUACAUUGAGGUGCUACAGUUUGUAAAUACCAGACUGCACCAGGAAGACGAGUGACAUUGUGAACUCACAAAACAAGAAAAGCUACUUGACCUAUUGUUCGUUGGUGUCAAUUCAGAUAAUACAAAAGAAGAUAUGUAUGGCAAGGAAGGCUAUAAAUUUUUCAUUAUGUUGAUUAUUCAAACAUUUUAGCAGAAAAUGUUUUUUAGCACAUAAAUGCUGAUGCACUGACAGAACAAAAUUUAAGGAAACAUUAACAUAUUCACUUUAAAUCUUUAACUAUAAAAAUGAUAUCCAAAACAAAGAAUAAAAAUAUUUCAAUUUUGUGCAUCAUCCAUAUUAGCUGUAACAAUCUAUGUUAUUGCUGAAAGAGAUGUAUAAACUGUUCCAAGAUCAAA